UGACAAUCACUGGCAUUUUGUUCCAAUUGUUUUAACUCUUUCCCUUUUUUAACGUAAAAUAUAGAAACAUUACAGAUAAUCACCGAGUCCUCUGUGGGCCCUCAGGGUGGGGUGGGGACCAUUCGGGACCCUUGCGUGUCUCACCAUCAACCGCUCUCGCCUCCAGGGGAGGAAAUCAAGCGCUUCUGGGGGGCAGGGUGCGCGCGCCCAGAGCUGGUGCGGGGGUCCACCGCCGUGAGACUUUUGCCCCUCUCAAAGAUGCGGCAGGCGGGGACUCCUGUCCCUGCUUCACGGCAAGGGACGCCCACCUGCCACCACGUGGGAUGGGGCUGCAAGCCGCAGGAAAGCGUUAUUACCCAAGGACGGGCGAGUAGGGUGGAUAUUUUGGCACCUCGGCAGCAGCGUCCCCAGGACUCAGGUCCUUCCAUCCAUCUGCUCUCCCAGGCUGACAUGUCGGCCUGGCUGCCACAUGCCCCAAGGUGGCCCCUGGUGCCCAGCAUCACCGCAGACACGAUGCAUCUUUGGAGAGAAGAGGAGCUGCUUCUGCUGAGUCUCUUCGAUGGGCUUCCCCAAAGCCUUCCAGCACGCUUCCCACGCCUCCUCCGCGCACCCCCAGCGGCCUCAGGAGCGCCUUCCGGAACCACCACUGGCGGUGGGAUUGCCCUGGUGGCUGCCUGUAGGAAGCUGGGCGAUCAGAACAAAUGGGGGUUCUGUUGGCAAAGAGGAAGAGCAGGCAAGGGUGGGGGGAAGGGUGUUGGGUGGUCAGAUCGGAAGAGGCUCGGUCCUGCAGGAGGUUGGAGGUCAGGGGCAUGGCCGUGGGCAGGGUGAGGUGGCUCCUCCCCUCAAAGCAGGUAAAGAUUCCCAGGGACAAACCCAUGGGUGGGUGACCCUGAGGCUCACUUUGUUGGGUCUGGAAUUGCUCUCAGCCUCCCUUCCUGGUUCCCCCUCCUGCCCCAGGGCUGGUCACCAGCCUGGUGGAGAGGCAUGGAUACGAAGCCGGAGUCUUGAGUUCAUGUCCCUCCUCUGCCGCUGAUUUACCGUGGCAAGGCCCUGCCCCUCUCAGGGCACAACACCUGUCACGGUCGAGGGAACGACUUCCGCCCCAAAGCAGGCCCCAGAUGGUAGCUGUUGGGAGAAGGAGACCAGAGCUGUCUGUAUUGACUCAGUAUUACAGGAUGAAUGAAUGAGUGAGUAAGUGAUUGAGUUCUGUACUCGCCUAGCAUACUCCCCCCGUGCACCCACCUCUGCACCAGUGGAGAAGCAACUGUGGGGUGGGCCGCAGUGUGUGGACAGACGAUGACGGGAAGCAUAGAGCGGGACGGAUGGGACAGCGGGAGGCAUGGAUAGAAAGCAGAGGGGUAGGUGAGGGGGAGCAGAGAUCGACGGAUGUAAGUGGCAGGGUGGAUGGGGGUGGACGGAAGGAUUGACAAGGACACAGGACUGGAUGAACAGAACGGGACGUCAGUGGAUGGAUAGAUAAAUGGACCGAUAGGUAGGAAGAUGCAUUUCUGAUGCAUAUGGCGACACAGAGGAAUGGAUGCAAGGAUCUGCAAGGGACGGACAGAUGUCAACAGAGGGACAGAUGGAUAGGGGAUGGACGGAUACGGGAGUACGUCAGGACAGACAGAUGGGAAGACGGGUGGAUUCUAAACGGACGAGUCCGUGCUCGCGUGCUGGGAUAGGUGGACGGGUCCUUGAAUGGUAAGAAGACGAUGGAUGUGGGAAUGAGUGGAUGAAUGCAGGAAGAGUGAAUGGAUGGCUACAGGAGUGUUUGUUAAUGAAUGCACGGAUACAGGCGUAGGAGGGUGGAUCGGCACAUGAGUGGGCA
ensembl:lncRNA